CUCUGCAGAUCAAAGAAAUAACCGUAGUACAUAAUCAACCUCGCUUUUCACAUAUCCAAACACCUCCACACACACACACAGAGCUUUGAAAGGACCUCUAGAAAAUAUAUUAGAAGCAAAUAAACAGAAGUCGGAGGUAGGGGUUGGUAUGCGUCAUUACGGUUUUACGACGAGCCAGCAACUAAGGAUAUAUCAUAGCAAAGCAGCCACGUUCAAGGAAAUAAUAAUAAUAAAAAAUCUCAGAGAGAAAAUCUGAAUUCAGGACAGAUAAUUCUCACUGUAUUGGUGACAGGUGCUAACCAAAACGAGGUCAGAAUAUUCUGAGAGUAACGGGAACGUUGUACAAUGAAGCGCCUGUCACCAUGACAGUGAGAUUCGGGUGUCGCGGGGGUUCGUAUCUCGUCUCUCUCUCUCUGAUUGUGAAACCUGUUUACAGAACUGGCCGCCGAUGGUUUUCUCCGGAGUUCCCAAGAGGCUGAAAGAUGACAACGACAGUCAAGACGUCGGCCAACCGACAGUCACAGCAGACCUUCCGGUCCUGAAGCGCAGAUAGAGGAACCUGGACUGAUGCGAUUGUACUUUAGCAGGAAGCGAGCAAGCACGCGCAGUACCACGAAGCUCCAACCUACUUAAUUUAUUAAAGGUUUAAUCGGGUGCAAUUAGUUCAAGAUUCUGUCGAAAUACUGUUUCCCAAAAUAAGAGCGAUUGGUUGUAUCCUUGACAAGGUUCAAGUUUCAUCGACGCUGUCACUGCCUGUUUAAAGAUGGACCGGGCAAUGAAACAAAGAUCGUUUUUCGGCGCGUUUUGUAACUGCCUGUCAGUCGUGGCAGUCACCAGAAGCGUGUUAUCCUUGCACAAAGAUUGAGGCUUUGCUGAGUACACAAGCGUCGUGACAGGCCCCAGUUAACAGUCUAAUGGGGUUGCGCACCUGGCCAAGGUGAUGCUAAUUUAAGCUAGCCCAUCGUUUUCAAGGAGCUAGGUGUUAAAAAAUGCAAAGCAUUUCCUGGUGCAUAAAGGUUCACAUAGAAAAGGGAAAAUUUAGACAAAAUGAAUCAUCACCAACUGUUAAAGCAAAGCUUUAACAUUGUAUUUUACGAAAUGCGUAGGUCAAAAUAUCACAGAAAGAUGUACAUAUGCCCAACUUGAUCGGAUCAAAAUGAAGAUUUAAUAUAAAUCCAUAAGUAUAAAUGCAUUAAUUAACUGUGGCUGGUACUCGAAAUGAAUACUAAAUUGUUUCCGUAUACUGCCGCUAGCACGCGCACGGCUUUCGUAGGUCAUCGGUCCCAGCCUGUGGGCUCAAGUAAAUUAGGUCGCACUUAAGCGGAAUAUUAAUCUUACCACUGUUC